rnacentral:rRNA from 1 species
UAAUACGAAGGGGGCUAGCGUUGUUCGGAAUUACUGGGCGUAAAGGGCGCGUAGGCGGUUUGACCAGUCAGGUGUGAAAUUCCCGGGCUUAACCUGGGGGCUGCACUUGAUACUGUCAGGCUUGAAUUCGGGAGAGGAUAGCGGAAUUCCCAGUGUAGAGGUGAAAUUCGUAGAUAUUGGGAAGAACACCGGUGGCGAAGGCGGCUAUCUGGACCGACAUUGACGCUGAGGCGCGAAAGCGUGGGGAGCAAACAGGAUUAGAUACCCUGGUAGUCCACGCCGUAAACGAUGAGUGCUAGACGCUGGUAGGUUUACCUAUCGGUGUCGCAGCUAACGCAUUAAGCACUCCGCCUGGGGAGUACGGUCGCAAGAUUA